GACGAACGCUGGCGGCGUGCUUAACACAUGCAAGUCGAACGGAAAGGCCCUUCGGGGUACUCGAGUGGCGAACGGGUGAGUAACACGUGGGUGACCUGCCCUGCACUUUGGGAUAAGCCUGGGAAACUGGGUCUAAUACCGGAUAGGACUACGCGAUGCAUGUCGUGUGGUGGAAAGCUUUUGCGGUGUGGGAUGGGCCCGCGGCCUAUCAGCUGGUUGGUGAGGUUAUGGCUUACCAAGGCGACGACGGGUAGCCGGCCUGAGAGGGUGACCGGCCACACUGGGACUGAGAUACGGCCCAGACUCCUACGGGAUGCAGCGGUGGGGAAUAUUGCACAAUGGGCGCAAGCCUGAUGCAGCGACGCCGCGUGAGGGAUGACGGCCUUCGGGUUGUAAACCUCUUUCAGCAGGGACGAAGCGCAAGUGACGGUACCUGUAGAAGAAGGACCGGCCAACUACGUGCCAGCCGCCGCAGUAACAC
rnacentral:rRNA from 1 species